CGAACACCCAGAAGGUUCAUGUUCCUUCCCGUACCUUAAUUUCGUGAUUUUCGAGUUUAAUAUACGAUAUAAUUGAUAUGGGUUUGUGUUCAUAUUAUCGGAAAUUCAUCUGAGUAUUUGUGUUUGAUUCGUUUCUGCAUGUUUGUUUAUAGGGGAAACAAGAGUUCCGGCACCAUUUCUCAUCUUCACCGAUCACUCCACACCGAUCUCUCCACACCGAUCUCUCCUCAAUCACUCCACACCGAUUUCUCCCGAUCACUCCACACCGAUCUCUCCUCGAUCACUCCACACCGAUUUCUCCCGAUCACUCCACACCGAUC
rnacentral:lncRNA from 1 species